CGAACAGCUCUUCGUGAAGAUAAACAGCUCUUCAACAAGUAGUAAUUUAAUGGGGGAUUCACAACAAGGAAAUAACAAAGGAAAGGGCAAAGAGAAAGAGAACUAUGAAUCUUGGACCAUGGACAAUAUCAAUGAGUUGUUGCACCUCUUGGUGGAUGC